GCUGGACUCUAAAAGAUGAGUUUCAACAAUUGAGGAAAUUAAUAAUUCUCCGAGGACUUUGCCACAAGGUUGGAUUGGAGUUGCUUCCGAAAGACUAUGAUAUGGAAAGCCCAAGCCCUUUCAAGAAAUCUGAUAUUAUCGGCAUUGUUCCUGUGUGUAAACAUGUAGGAUGCUCUUCUGCAGAUGGGCGAACCCUAUUGGAGUCAUCAAAGAUGGCACUCGAUAAACGAUAGCUAGAAGAUGCUGUCAACUAUGGAACAAAGGUACCAAAGCCAUCCUGUCUAUAGUAAGCUGUUUAAUUCUAUUCUUAACGGGUACAAAAAUCAAUCACAAUUUUUUGUAUUACUUGAUUCUGAAGGCAUUGGCAAAGAUGAUAGCUGUCUGUGGUCCCUAUCAUCGUAUGACUGCGAGUGCGUACAGUCUGUUAGCUGUUGUGCUUUACCACACUGGAGACUUUAAUCAGCUGCUGUCCAUAGCAUUUCAAUGCACCAUGUUGACCCAUUAAAGAUUGGUGUAAUCCAUAGACAUAUAUGCUUGAUUGGAGGGUUAGGUGAUUGCCCAAAGAGAGGUGGUUUUGUUGAUUAAGGUUUAGUUUCUUCUAUUUUUUUUUUUUUUGUUGAUUUUUACUUUCUAUUUUUCUCUUCCUUAGUAAUUAGCAAGAGAGAAGUGUAAUAUAAAGAGUCUGAGAACUAAGCUUAGUAAAGUGAAAUGAGUGCUGUAACUAACUAAUACUACUGAGACUUGAG